rnacentral:lncRNA from 1 species
UAUAUCAGCUAUUGGCUGUUCAUUAAUAAUGCCAAAACAAGCUUAAAACAAUGUCAACUCAAAACACAGAGAGAUCAUUGACCAUUCCUGAGAAGCAAGAAUUGGAAAGCCCCCAAAACAGGAUUUCACUGGACAAGCAUUCCAAGCAGUAAAUAACAAUAAUAUCUCUCGAUACACAUGUAACCAACUGCACUUCAAUCUACUCACUCGAUCCUCAUGAACAUUAGCAAAUCGCAAACAAAAAGCCAGAGAGGGUGGCUUUAUCAACAGCUAACAUUUGAUUGGCAAUAAACGAGCAAGGCUUAUGUGGUUGUUUCAUGAAAGAUUGGUUACAGACAUACUACUCCCUCCGUCCCACUAUAAGUGGCUCAAAACUUUUCGGCACGGGAAUUAUGGAGGUGUAAAUUGGUUAAAAGUGGUGGGGCCUACAUUUUUUAAGGGUUAAAAUUUUCCAUUUAUGAAAAUAGGCCACUUAUAGUGGAACGGCCCAAAAUAGAAUACAGACCACUUUUAGUGGGACGGGGUGAAAACAAAAAUAACUAUAUUCAAUUGCCUUAAGAAAGCCUAGCAGUUCAAGUUUAUCGUCUUAGUUCAAAUUUGCUCACUCUUACAGUCAUACUGAAGACAAUUUGCAACAUUAGGGUAGAUAACAAAAUGAACAGCCAUGGCUCACAUGAUGUGAGACUACAUGUCUCACAUGAUAACAAAAUGAACAGCCAAAAAGAACAUUUGAAAUAUGGUCAAAAGCCCAAAACAAGUUUAAGUGGAGAAAAUAAAUCAGCAAAAUACUGAAGAUGGACUCUUAUUUCCAAACAGCAGAUGGAAAAGGGCCUUUCCUGGGCCGAUUAACUAGUUGAAUUGCAAACAAGCCAGAACAUAAAUUUUUAGAAUUGACUGGUCCACAUAUUAUUCUGAUAGGACAUGCCACUCAAAAAUCAUAGAAAAUCAACAAUGCCAACCAUUUCAAAUAAUUGAAGCCUGAGCAUUAAAAAUAAACAAAUAUGCAAGUAAAAAUUUAGAUUUGUAGCUAAAGCAUCCAACAGAAACAUGACGUCAUCAGACAUAUAGUAAAUUAGUCUAUGUCUAUUCAAGCGAACACAAGCUUUACUAAAUAACAAAACACCACUCCUCAAAAUUACUGACGGAGCAUCCUGGACCUCAAAUCGGUAUCAUAUACUGGACACUAAUUACACAAACAUUUGUCAAAGCAUUGGAAACUUAUUACAGUCAAACAUUUGUCAAAGCAUUUAAAAGUCCAACAAUUUUCCUUUUUUGAGGGGUUUGGUGUGUGUGGGGGGGGGGGGGUCAAAGCCAAGAAGUCUAACCAGCAUCUACUACUAAAAGAAAUACAAGGUGUUAAACAACUCAUUAUAAAAACAAGCAGCAAAAAAUUCUUUCAUACAUGAGACAUCUGGAGGGGCAUGCAAGCUCCUCAUGAAAAUAUAGACUAGUCUAGUACUCGGCUUUUGAUCACCUAUAUCCACACUCUACUGAAAUUUUGCAGAAAGGAGGUCUAAACUCACUUAAAAUUAUGAGCAAUCACAGAAGAUCACAUCAUAAGUCGUAGGUGGAGUGAAGAAGAAGAAGCCAUAUAACACAGCAAAUCAAAAUCAUGAAGCCAUUGCCUGCAAAUUCACCAGAACCACUAAGGCUAGCACCAACAAGCUGGUCAUAAACCUGAAUCAAUAUUCAUUCACAACUCAAUAUGUCAUUCCACACACAACCAACAAAAAUGAUUCAGAAUAAGAGAAUAUGCAACCAAAAAUAAACAGUUAAACAAUCAUUGCUAGGUGGACAGCAGAAGAAAGGAAAAAUUGUAAGCAAACUGGCUGCUUUUUCAGAAGAAGAGCAGCGCGAGUUCCAUAAUUGAAAGGCUAAAUGUGUAAAAGAAACAUAAAAAGAAUAAAUCCAAGCACAAAAAGAUACAAUGACAUGUAAAAUUACAUGAAGCAAUGUCUCAGGCAUGGUUAAUUGCUAGAAAUCAAGCAAUACAAAUCAGUGUCAACAGUCAAAAGAUGAAGGACAUAGAAAUUUAAUACAAUGAAAGAUGUUCGUAAAUGAACUCUCAAAGAAGACAAUUACUUUAAGCAAAUUAUCUGCAUAGCAGAGACAACAAGGGUAUAUAUGCAUACACAAAACAUGUAAAUGGUUUCCAUAUACAAAACAUGCAUCACCAACUGGCAAGACUUCAUGAGGAUAACAAGGAAAAGAGUCUUCUAAACAUGCAAAACCACUCACAAUGAAGAAAUCAAGUCACAAGCAUUAGAAGGGAAACUGAGAAGCCAAUUAGUUCAUCUUUACAGCAUAAUGUCAUCAGUGAUUAACAGCAACAUAUCAAAGGACCACACAACAAAUGUGCACAGCACUGCACAUUAAUACUAGGAACUGUAAAAACACACUCAUAUAAAAAGAAGCCGUACCCAGAAACAACGAGAAAAUUAAAAAUCUACACCAACAAGCAAUCAAUUCAAUGAAAGCAUGAGUAAAUCAGUAGCUCAAAGACAAAACAAGUGCACCAGUGAAACAUUAUGCAUCAACGAUUGUUUGUCAUGGAUCAACAUGCUGCCAGAUCAGGUCAAUAAGCCAAAUGAAAGCAAGAGUCUCAAGGUAGGAAAUUCAGCAAUGCAAACAAAAAACCCAAACGUUAUUCAUACUUUUAUGCGACUAUAUCAACAUUGGUCCAUAAAUAAUGAAUUCCUAAUAUCCAAUGCCAUGAAUGCUUACCUCCUCCACUCUAGUUUUAUUGAAAUCAUCCACACUUGUGAAGGAAAAUGCUAUGAUGAAUAACAUAUGAUAAAUUAACUAAUAUAUUAUAAAUUACAAACUGAUGGAAGGACAGCAACCCACACAUAAGAACUGCCUUAUCUUUUACCCCAGUCCCUAAUUUUGAUGCAACACAUAAGAAUUUGUACACAUAGAAUCAACUAAUAAGUAAUAACUCAUAAUAGUAACUGUAAGUAAUCACGAGUGAUAGCAAACAUAUGGUGCAAAUAAAGCUCAUACCAGGAACAACAACUCAAAGGUGGAAUUCGUUUUAUGAAAAAUGGCAAGUUGGAAUUCGUUUUAUGAAAAAUGGCAAGUCAAUUGCAACUUGCAAGUGUGCCUAGUAGUUGGUCACCAGUCUCCCAAAUAAUAACAUAGAGUUAAUCUCUUUUCCACAAAUCAAGAUGUUCAGAAAGAAAUCCAUAAUAUCAAUAGCUAAAAGCAAACACAUCUUCACGAAACACAGCAUUUAGAAGAUAACAACACAAAAAGGCAACCAUAUGAUGCACACAAACUCCAGAUCUCCAUAUCACAUACAAAAGUCAUACCAACCCAAGCUAUUAAAACAAAAGGGAUGAAAAGCAAAAAAUGUCUAAACACAAAGAAUUGCAUGUAAAUGAUGACAGAGCCAAUAACCAGUCACAAAUAGCUUACUAGAUCAGACAGAUGCUCAAAGGGUAUCUCAAGGAAAACUUAACCGUGAUGCACCAAAACAGCAAGCUCACAACCAAAAAAGCACCUCAGUAGUAAGAAAACAUGUCGGAAAAAGUACCUCAG